GCUGUAUAUGAUGAUCAACAAGGGACUUAAUACUGAUUGUAUGAUGUCACCUUUUAAACUGUCUGAUAUAG